rnacentral:lncRNA from 1 species
CGUUUGAUCCAUUUUUUUAUAGACAACUCUUAUCGCUAGCUGAUCGUUUCUGUAGCAAAUAAAUAGCUAACUAGCACUGCCAUCUAACGUAAAAAAACAACACUAAUAGGAGGGAUUUGAAUAGACCACGCCUUCAACGAAGGAGGAGUCCACUACAUAUUGAAUUUAUCGAUCGAUUGUUAGGCCCAUUUCGAUCGCUACUGUACAGUCAAUGGCGGCAUGGCGGAGACGCGCAUUGGAACUUGGAAGUGGAUGCAUGUGAGACUUGAUGUGGCGUUGCAUGUGGGAGGCUCCGUUGGUAAUGUUCGCAGACUGGUCAUUUGAUGAUACGUGUGAACAGUGGUAGUGCUUGGGUGCCUCAAGAGGGAAUCGCAGAACAUAGCCAUAGAGCUAAAAGUCAUAGAAGAUUUUUAAACUGUUAUUUGAUUUUGUGUUGUUUCAGCAGUAUUAUGUCCUUCAACAAUAUAUUAUGUCCAAACAUGGAAUGAGUCGCAUGUGACUAAGUCAACCAAAUGUGGCAACAACAAUUAGUCAGCAAUGGAAUUAGUCAGUGGAAAACAACACAUUCAUUCCUGAGGAUGGUUUUGAGUUUAUCUAUGCUUAUUGCCAACUGGAAGGAUUCCUCUUUUUACAGAACUUUACCAUUUUCAUGGUAUACUUAACUGCUUGUCAGCGGAUUGUCACUUGGCAUCAUUAGAAUGGUAUGGUCCAUAUCAGCAGUGUUAUGAUGCACUUCUUAAAUACACCAAUCCCUCAGAAAAUAUUCGAAUUGAAAUUAUGGAAAUUUCUGCCCUUCAUGCAGAACUGCACAAUGAUGGGUUCGUAUAAACAAGCUUCAAAUGACAAACCAACAGUAUUUUUGGUUCGGCUUACACAUGCAGCUCUAUGACAUGUUGAUGUUAGCUGAAUUGUUAUUAAUCAUAGGGGUAGGUAGUAUGAAAUGAAAUAUCUUCUCUUGGAUGUUUUUUGUCUAUGUAUUUGUUUGAGAUGACUCUUGAUGCAGGAAGCUUUUCCUGCUUCUUACAAAAAGGGACAUUGGAUGCCUUAAUGUCUAAUACCAACCAAGUGUCAUUGCAAAGAUAGGUCAAAGAUAUAUUAAUAUAGAUUACACUCUGAGUGAUGGUGACAUGGUAAAAAGAGAGAGCAGUAUGAAUAUUUGCUGCAUCAUUUACUUCUAUUAUUUAUAUCUUCAAGGUAUCUUACUGAUUUCUAUUGGUUUUAUUUGUGGAAAGAAUAUCUUGAGCGGGAGAAUUGGAUCACAAUUGACUAGAUGUUUUACUAUUUUAAAUGAGUUUAUCACAAAGAAUUUUUUACUGAUUCAUGUUCUGUUUCUGUAAUGUAGGUAGAAUAAUCGCAAUGCCGUGGUAGUAAUUCGCGAGAGAUAUGCCAAUAGGGUUUCGCUGUUUUCAAUUCGCAAUCGUAAUGGAUUUGAAGAGGAUAUUGAUGGAGUUUUGGUAUAAAAAAGUACAUGUUCGUUGGAAGGGCACCGAAGAGUUCCGGAUCCUUUUACUAUCGCACAUGUUAUGGUAUUUUUACAAAAAUCAUUGAAGUGCUUAUUUGGAACCCCUUGUUUUCUGUGGCCCCGUUUCCCCCUUGACUUAUAUUAUUUUCUUUAACCCUUUAGUGCGUGUAAAACUAAAGACUAAAAGAAGAAGAAUGAUUCAAAAACUGUGGGAGAGAAUCAUCAAAGAAUUAUACUCGUUUAGGUAAUCCUUUCGGAUUCGAUUCCGCCGUUUGUGCUGCCCUUUUCUCUAAAGCACUUCUACAGAGUGACGACUCGUCGCGAGUGCAUGACAUCCAUAUCGAUAACGGUUUCCCGCGUAAAGACGAAUCCGAGCAAGUCGUCACUAGUUUACAGCAACUCCGGCUCAAUCUUCGGAGCUCUUUUCCAGACAGUGGCUUCUCAUUUCUAUCGUCAUACCAGCGAUCAGAUUUGAUGUUUGGAAUUGUUUUGGGUUGCUAAAGCAAGAUUGACUUUCUACGAUACUUCCACCAACGUGCAUGGUCGCCAAACUUUGUCGUUGUGUCGGACUGUAAAUCCGGAAGAUAAACGUCGAAUUAUUGGCGAUAUGUUUGUCAAAGUGAUAAUUAGAACGGCUAACGAUUUAAAUGUCACUUGGGAUAAUCUACUUCUCGGACAAGUUUCUUUGAGACCUGAUUUAAUUGGGGCCGCUUCGCAUAUGGCUUCUUCGCGCGUUGAUGCCAUAAAGACUCAUCAUAACGAUUCCGAAAUGGUUCGUCAGUUGCGCAUUUACGGUCGUGUAGUAGAACCUUUUAAAGAUUUCAUUUCCAUAAAGAUGAAGUAAGGUCUUAGGUUGUGGGCUGGGUCUGUCCACAGUAUUACUGGAAUGUCACCCGUUUCCUGGUCCUGGUUAUAUAUUUAUAUUUAGUUAUAUUAUUAUUCGUAAAAUCCAGAGGUGUUCUUCACUUUACAGGGGAUUGAUUGAUGAUACUUGUUGAUUAAUCCAUGAAGAAUGGAUAAGUGGAGGGUAAUAAAAGUUAAAUAAUGUAAUUCCUGGUGGCAUUUUCAUUCACGCAUACGAAGCAGCUCGGGAGCAGACGAACCAUUGAAAGGGCCUUGCGUAGUCUAGCUGCAUCCAGCCAGAUACUAGUAGAACCCAAAACAUUGUUUUGACAAGUACUGUCAUAUUUCGGUUGCAGGUUUUCACUAAAUAUCAAGGUGUGGUAGCUAUUAUUCCGUGUUUUUCUUGCUUUCAACACUACAGGCUUAUCCUACGAGCUACGACAGUUUUACCUACAAAUGUUUAGCCGUUUCGUGCUGCAACUAGUAGUCUAUUUUCUAGGAUGAAAUGCCUAAAAUUGGAAUUCAGCUAUCAGAGAUUAACAAAAUUCAAGUUCUUAAAAGCAAGUAUUGUACCUCUUUCAACAUUCAAAAUAAAAUAUAAUUUUUGGUUCUAGGCCGAAACUCUAGAUGGCGUUUUUGUGCGUUUAUGAUGAAGAUUAUGAGUGACAAGUUAAAUGGGUGUUUGUUACGUUACGCUGUUAUGUGUUUAAAAGGAUUUUUCGUCAAAAAAUAUACGAUUGCUUUUUGUCUGUGUUGGUGUUUCGCUUUGUCAGCUAUGCUAGCUACUGAACCAGCAGCCUGCAUUCCUGCUAUCAAUGUACCACAAGAGAUCCUGACACUUUGAGAAGGCCACUAUUGCUUACAUGAAGAUCACCAUCCAGUUGAAUCAACGGCAGAGUCUUCAUCUACUUUGUGUUGCUAACCAUCCACCCUCAGCAUCCCAGGUAUCCAGAUUUCCAAGUUUCUCUGAUUAGCCAACCAUCAACCCUUCAGCUCUUCAAUGUGGCUUCUCUUCCUCUCUUCUUAAUGUGCUGAAUGCCAACAUUGAAUAAGAUUCAUCAUCAUUGCCUUUCCAUGCCAGCUCACAUGGAUAGGCUUUAACAGCAUCUCCAUUUUUUGGACUGCAAAUAUUCAUCUUCCUUCGGUACGACACUGCCGUUUUGGCAAUUUCGGCAGUUUCGCCCCCAGUGGACCACACGCAACUACAUUUUCUUCGUCUUCCUGUCGUUGUUGUCUACGACUUCACCUCAUCGCUGUCUUCGUUGAUGUCUUCGCCUUCAUCUCCGUCUCGUCGUCUUAGUCGUCUUCUCCUUCAUCUCCGUCUCGUCGUCUUAGUCGUCUUCUCCUUCAUCUCCGUCUCGUCGUCUUAGUCGUCUUCUCCUUCAUCUCCGUCUCGUCGUCGUAGUCAUCUUCGCCUUCACCUCCGUCUCUGCGUCUUCGCCUUCACCUCCGUCUCGGCGUCUUCGCCGUCUUUGUCUACGCCAUCACCUCGUCGCCGGCCUCUCUUUCGCCCUUCACGUUGGGAAUUCACCGUUGAUCUUCGCUCUGGUAUUGUUUUGUUUUACAUUAUUAUGUUUAAGUUAACCCGUUGGCUGCCACCCCGUUUGCGUCCCAUUUUUUUGUAGCUUGUAGGGACCGGCCGCAAUGGCCUUCGCCGCAAGGCGCCUU